UACGUAGGGGGCAAGCGUUGUCCGGAUUUAUUGGGCGUAAAGAGCGUGUAGGCGGCCAUGUAGGUCCGUUGUGAAAACUCGAGGCUCAACCUCGAGACGCCGAUGGAAACCAUGUGGCUAGAGUCCGGAAGAGGAGAGUGGAAUUCCUGGUGUAGCGGUGAAAUGCGCAGAUAUCAGGAAGAACACCCGUGGCCAAGGCGGCUCUCUAGUACGGUACUGACGCUGAGACGCGAAAGCGUGGGGAGCAAACAGG
rnacentral:rRNA from 1 species